GAUGAACGCUGGCGGCGUGCCUAAUACAUGCAAGUCGAGCGAACGGACGAGAAGCUUGCUUCUCUGCUGUUAGCGGCGGACGGGUGAGUAACACGUGGAUAACCUACCUAUAAGACUGGGAUAACUUCGGGAAACCGGAGCUAAUACCGGAUAAUAUUUUGAACCGCAUGGUUCAAAAGUGAAAGACGGUCUUGCUGUCACUUAUAGAUGGAUCCGCGCUGCAUUAGCUAGUUGGUAAGGUAACGGCUUACCAAGGCAACGAUGCAUAGCCGACCUGAGAGGGUGAUCGGCCACACUGGAACUGAGACACGGUCCAGACUCCUACGGGAGGCAGCAGUAGGGAAUCUUCCGCAAUGGGCGAAAGCCUGACGGAGCAACGCCGCGUGAGUGAUGAAGGUCUUCGGAUCGUAAAACUCUGUUAUUAGGGAAGAACAUAUGUGUAAGUAACUGUGCACAUCUUGACGGUACCUAAUCAGAAAGCCACGGCUAACUUCGUG
rnacentral:rRNA from 1 species